AGCUGUCUUCGGGGCGGGGUGAAAGUCCCCACCGGCGGUAACCCUUUCAAACAUGGGAAGCCCGCGAGCUGCUUGCUGAUCUGGUGAGAUUCCAGAGCCGACGGUAUAGUCCGGAUGGAAGAAGAAAAGA
rnacentral:ncRNA from 19 species